rnacentral:rRNA from 1 species
AUUGAACGCUGGCGGCAGGCCUAACACAUGCAAGUCGAGCGGUAACAGGGAUAGCUUGCUAUCUGCUGACGAGCGGCGGACGGGUGCGUAACACGUAGGAAUCUACCCAGUAGCGGGGGAUAGCCCGGAGAAAUCCGGAUUAAUACCGCAUACGCCCUACGGGGAAAGCAGGGAUUCUUUCUUUGGUAGAGAACCUUGCACUAUUGGAUGAGCCUGCGUCGGAUUAGCUGGUUGGUGGGGUAAAGGCCUACCAAGGCAACGAUCCGUAGCUGGUCUGAGAGGAUGAUCAGCCACACUGGGACUGAGACACGGCCCAGACUCCUACGGGAGGCAGCAGUGGGGAAUAUUGCACAAUGGGCGCAAGCCUGAUGCAGCCAUGCCGCGUGUGUG